AUGAAAUUAACCAAGACAAAACUAAACACGCUGCUCAUAUUAACUCUAGCAUUUCACAUCUCAUCUUCAGAAGCUUCUGGUGAUAAGGCUCUGAGGAUCCUGGUUGUGGGAGUCAGAGGUCAGUCCAGAUUCAGUGCUGUAGAUCUUCUGUCAGGAAGGAAAGACGGAGGACAGGAGGACAGAGAGAUUGUAAAGACUCCAGUAAUUACAGACGGGGCUCGUAGAAUGAUGCUGGUCACUGGACCAAACCUCUGUGAGGAGGACACAGAGAGACAGACCUUCACAACAGCGCUGUUUCUCUCGUCUCCUGGACCUCACGCCGUUCUAAUGGUCCUGAAUCUGGAAGAUCAACAAUCACAACAGUGUGAUAUUGAGAAACGAGCCCAGGAGCUGCUGGGAGCAGAAGUCCUGCAGUACUGCAUUGUUCUUCUGCUCCAAAAUCACCAGGAACCUUUGACAGGAGCCUCCAGAGGGAUUGCUGGAGAAAUGAUCAACGCAUGUGGAGGAAGAUUUCACAUCAUAAGAGACUCUGAACCAAAACCUGCUCAAAGAACAACUCUUAUAACAGAAAUAGAGAAGUUAGUUUGGCUCAAUGAUCACAGAUUUCACUCAGUAUUGAGACAAGAAUUAGAAACAGAAAUGCUGGAACUUUUACAAACACUUCAAGAAAUAGAGAACAAACUUCAAGAAGAGACCACUCAGAAUGUAAAUGAAGAAUAUCCAGUCUUGCCUGUAAUAUAUGACACUUUCGGAGGAGUUGUUGGAAUUGUAGGAUGGAUUUUCUUCAUUGUACUGAACGCUGUUGUUAUUUUCACUAAAGGAAAGCAUGAACUUUGUAAUUUUGGAGCAAUAAUAUGCAUACUUGUUAUCUUCAUGGUCACAUUGAGAAAUAAUAUGAGUCCAAAUGUUGCUGUACCAAUAAAUUUGAUUCUAUCCUCAACAUUUACUAUUGCAGUUUCAUUAGCUUACUUAGCAAAUUUAUUGCAUGAACAUAAAAUAUUAAAAGCUUUAGUGAUUUUACUUUCAUAUUCUAGUACAGUGUUUAUAUUAGGUCUAGGACUGACUGUAGGAACAGCGGUCAGCGUACAGACGUGGUCAGAUGUGCUCAUAGCUUGCCGUGCUGCCCCUGGGAUCACAUUUGGGGCUUAUUUAUUAACCCUUCAUUUCACUGUACCGGAUCAAAGGUAUGUUCAGACACCUUUGCAGUUAGUUUUAUUCUUUGUACUUAUUUUUUUCUUGUUUUGUUCAGCUGGAGUGACACUCUCAGUGGGGUUUGCGACUGUAUUUGCUCUGUUCGGUCUGAAGAUGUCAGUAAUCCUGCUAAUAUUAGGAUUAACAAUAGCAUAUUUCCAUUUAAAGAGUCAAUCUGUGAUGUUUGUUGUUUUUGUCCUGGUUUUUCCAUUCUGUUGUGUAUUUAUUGGUUCUUCCAUUUUGUUUUUAUUACGGUUUGUGGUGAAUUUUGUCUUUGCAUUUUAAGAAAUCAUAGCACUUUAUUGUUGGGAUCUUUUUUUAUAUACAGUACUUUGAAACCAGUUAUAGUGACUAAAUCACAAAAGACACUGACAGACUUCUGGUCAAAACAAGAGCAAAUGUUGAUUUUAUUCUUAAGUUAAUAUUUAAAACAUAUUAAUAGUUCCUUUACCAUUGUACAUUUCCACAAUAUCUAGUGUGAUGUAUUGUGUUUUUUGUUUUUUCAAUUAAUGAAUUAAAUUACUAAUUUAUUUGUCUUAUUAAGGCCAUUUUAUGUAUGUACAUACCAAAAACAAAACAUGUUUGUAUUGACACUUUUUACAUAAUAACAGAAUUGUCCUGUUACGCAUGUAUAUGAAUUUUUGAAAAAUUAAAUACUUAUUAUUUUCUAACUCUGUUUAGAUCUCAUUUACUUGUUAUGAAAUGUCCUGACUGUCAGAUUUACUGUAAUACCGAACAACUCUUAAUCUUUAACCAUUUGAGUUUAAAUUAUUGAGGAUUUUUCUGUGGAACAGUUGCUACCAUCUACUAAACUUCAGUCAGACAAAUGAACAAAGGCACUCACUGUAACAGUCUGCAGUCGCUCUGGAUAAAGACGUCUGCUCAAUGUCCACUUACUUCCUCUGCAGCUCUGCAGACAAACCAAUGCAGUUUUACUGGAAAUAAUACAAAUAAUGCUGAUGUUGUGAUUUAAACCAGAGGUGCAGAUCAGAUGUUCACAUCUG
ensembl:lncRNA